GGCACAAUCAUUGGUCCUCACAAUGUGAUUACUCUUUCUCUCUCUCUUUCUCUUCUCAUGUGUCAGUGUAUGUAUGUGUGCCUGUGUGUGUAAUAGUUAUUGCCAAACAUUUCCAGCAGGUGAACCAUUGUGUUCAUGCAUGUACAUAUACACAUUCUAUCUAUUUCAAUUUAUCAUUGGAUUUGAUUAAUUGUGAAUUUGCAGUGGCUUAUGGCCAAAGAAAGCAAAAAAAUGUGCCAUCUGGAUUGCUGAUAUGUAUUUAACUUGUACUUACCCCUAAGGUUCUGAAUUUUAGAUGGUGUCAGAAUUACUAUGGAUAGGGUUUCAACCUGUCUAUUCAGUGUAACUUAUGUUAUUUCAACUUUUCUCACUUCUUUUUUCAAUUUUUAUUAAUAGCAAUUGGCCUGUAGGUACAGGCUGUCCUUUAUUUUCCCUUUUU
rnacentral:misc_RNA from 1 species